rnacentral:rRNA from 1 species
GAUGAACGCUGGCGGCGUGCCUAAUACAUGCAAGUCGAGCGAACAGACGAGGAGCUUGCUCCUCUGACGUUAGCGGCGGACGGGUGAGUAACACGUGGAUAACCUACCUAUAAGACUGGGAUAACUUCGGGAAACCGGAGCUAAUACCGGAUAAUAUAUUGAACCGCAUGGUUCAAUAGUGAAAGACGGUUUUGCUGUCACUUAUAGAUGGAUCCGCGCCGCAUUAGCUAGUUGGUAAGGUAACGGCUUACCAAGGCGACGAUGCGUAGCCGACCUGAGAGGGUGAUCGCCCACACUGGAACUGAGACACGGUCCAGACUCCUACGGGAGGCAGCAGUAGGGAAUCUUGCGCAAUGGGCGAAAGCCUGACGGAGCAACGCUGCGUGAGUGAUGAAGGUCUUCGGAUCGUAAAACUCUGUUAUUAGGGAAGAACAAAUGUGUAAGUAACUAUGCACGUCUUGACGGUACCUAAUCAGAAAGCCACGGCUAACUACGUG